rnacentral:rRNA from 1 species
GAUGAACGCUGGCGGCGUGCCUAAUACAUGCAAGUCGAGCGAACAGACGAGGAGCUUGCUCCUCUGACGUUAGCGGCGGACGGGUGAGUAACACGUGGAUAACCUACCUAUAAGACUGGGAUAACUUCGGGAAACCGGAGCUAAUACCGGAUAAUAUAUUGAACCGCAUGGUUCAAUAGUGAAAGACGGUUUUGCUGUCACUUAUAGAUGGAUCCGCGCCGCAUUAGCUAGUUGGUAAGGUAACGGCUUACCAAGGCAACGAUGCGUAGCCGACCUGAGAGGGUGAUCGCCCACACUGGAACUGAGACACGGUCCAGACGCCUACGAGAGGCAGCAGUAGGGAAUCUUCCGCAAUGGGCGAAAGCCUGACGGAGCAACGCCGCGUGAGUGAUGAAGGUCUUCGGAUCGUAAAACUCUGUUAUUAGGGAAGAACAAAUGUGUAAGUAACUAUGCACGUCUUGACGGUACCUAAUCAGAAAGCCACGGCUAACUACGUG